rnacentral:piRNA from 1 species
UGGAAAUAAAACCCAAUGUUUCAUGUGUUC